UGAGGAAUAUUGGUCAAUGGACGAGAGUCUGAACCAGCCAAGUAGCGUGAAGGAUAACUGCCCUAUGGGUUGUAAACUUCUUUUAUACGGGAAUAAAGUUAGCCACGUGUGGCUUUUUGUAUGUACCGUAUGAAUAAGGAUCGGCUAACUCCGUGCCAGCAGCCGCGGUAAUACGGAGGAUCCGAGCGUUAUCCGGAUUUAUUGGGUUUAAAGGGAGCGUAGGCGGGUUGUUAAGUCAGUUGUGAAAGUUUGCGGCUCAACCGUAAAAUUGCAGUUGAUACUGGCGACCUUGAGUGCAACAGAGGUAGGCGGAAUUCGUGGUGUAGCGGUGAAAUGCUUAGAUAUCACGAAGAACUCCGAUUGCGAAGGCAGCUUACUGGAUUGUAACUGACGCUGAUGCUCGAAAGUGUGGGUAUCAAACAGGAUUAGAUACCCUGGUAGUCCACACAGUAAACGAUGAAUACUCGCUGUUGGCGAUAUACGGUCAGCGGCCAAGCGAAAGCAUUAAGUAUUCCACCUGGGGAGUACGCCGGCAACGGUGAAACUCAAAGGAAUUGACGGGGGCCCGCACAAGCGGAGGAACAUGUGGUUUAAUUCGAUGAUACGCGAGGAACCUUACCCGGGCUUAAAUUGCAACUGACUGAACCGGAAACGGUUCUUUCUUCGGACAGUUGUGAAGGUGCUGCAUGGUUGUCGUCAGCUCGUGCCGUGAGGUGUCGGCUUAAGUGCCAUAACGAGCGCAACCCUUAUCGAUAGUUACUAGCAGGUCAUGCUGAGGACUCUAUUGAGACUGCCGUCGUAAGAUGUGAGGAAGGUGGGGAUGACGUCAAAUCAGCACGGCCCUUACGUCCGGGGCUACACACGUGUUACAAUGGGGGGUACAGAAGGCAGCUACACGGCGACGUGGUGCUAAUCCCGAAAGCCUCUCUCAGUUCGGAUUGGAGUCUGCAACCCGACUCCAUGAAGCUGGAUUCGCUAGUAAUCGCGCAUCAGCCACGGCGCGGUGAAUACGUUCCC
rnacentral:rRNA from 1 species